rnacentral:rRNA from 1 species
UACAGAGGGAGCAAGCGUUGUUCGGAAUUACUGGGCGUAAAGGGCGCGUAGGCGGUUCGAUAAGUCCCGUGUGAAAUCCCUCGGCUCAACUGAGGAAUGGCACGGGAAACUGACGGGCUUGAGUUCGGGAGAGGGAAGCGGAAUUCCGGGUGUAGCGGUGAAAUGCGUAGAUAUCCGGAGGAACACCGGUGGCGAAGGCGGCUUCCUGGACCGAUACUGACGCUGAGGAGCGAAAGCCAGGGGAGCAAACGGG